rnacentral:rRNA from 1 species
UACGUGAGGGUGCGAGCGUUAAUCGGAAUUACUGGGCGUAAAGCGUGCGCAGGCGGUUUUGUAAGUUUGACGUGAAAGCUCCCGGCUUAACUGGGAGAGGUCGCUGAAGACUGCAAGACUUGAGGAAAUGAGAGGGGUGUAGAAUUCCCGGUGUAGUGGUGGAAUGCGUAGAUAUCGGGGGGAAUACCAGUGGCGAAAGCGGCACCCUAGCAUUUUUCUGACGCUCAUGUGCGGAAAGCGUGGGGAGCGAACGGG